AUUGUGUAUCCCUCCGUGGUCCAUUCGAAAGUAGUGCCUAUUUCUAAAGAGUUCCUUUUCUCUUCUUGAAUAUAAGCCAUUUAACAAUGUGAGACAUGUCUUUUGUGGUUAUUUGUAAUAUCCUGUAUGUGUCUGGAGUACUUUGAUGCCUUGGAUUGGAAGCUAACUUGAAAGAUGAACUUUUGAGGGUGUGUUUUCUAUUGUGUGGGGCUUUUGUCGAAAUUAGGAUUCCGAAACACGUUUUUCUACGGUGGGUUCAUUCGACAGCGAUUUACUUUCUUAGAAGUUGCGAGACGGUAUGUUUUUGAUUGCAAUUAUUGGAAGAUGACAGAUCCAUCUUUAAAAUGAUACCAGGUUCGGAAAAAUUGAUACGUCGGAAAGGCAAGAAAAAUGCUGUGAAAGUUGUCAGUUUUAUAAUGGGACCCUAUGGGAAUCGGAAUUAGUGUAAUAUAACCUUUAAAAAGCACAUUUACUGCAAUGUCAAGGUCACAUGGAUUCGUCUGCAAGCGAGACAAGUAGAAAAUGAAUUUUAAUGAAUGUUUUGAUGAUUUGGGUGCUAAAAUAGAUGAGAGGUGUCAAUAUUUUGGUCCAAAUGGAUGUUUUAGGUGGUUUUGGACUGUUCCGGAUGGGUGGGGGACCUGGUAUGGACAAGUAAGGGUAAGAUUUCCAACAAAUCUUAAAUGUAAAUAUUAUUAUGUCCAUAGAUUGAAGUUUCAGGUGGAGAGCAAGAUGAAAAAUAUGCAAAAUUACAUGCAUGCAACCCAUUUAUGCCAUUUUUCUCUUUGUUUGUAGGCCUGACCGUUUGUCCUUGAGCCGUAGAUGGUCAACAAUCCGCUAGCUGUCUUGCUCUGACUGGUGCACUGGACAUGAUUUCAAUAGUCAGCCAGACCAUGAUUGAGCUUAAGGGUUGUGCUGCGGAUGCAGCCUGUGCAGUUCCGGGAGAAAGUCACUGUCUCGGGCAAUGCGGUCUGGUAUCAGGUCUGGAUGAUCCUUGCCUGACUGCGGGUUUGUGUACACCUCAAUCCGACUCUGUGUCCUGAACAGAGGCCGCAGUGGUGCAGCGCUUGUGGACGAUCCAUCAACAUCCUGAAAGGUCAACACUACACCAAGCUGGGAAAAUUGAUCCUGAUAGUCAUCCCCAGGUAGUGGAAUGAAUGUUCACUGAACUACAGAGGAAUCACACCCAAAUGACUUUCCUGCCACGACAUUAGUGUGGCCACUCGCGUAGGAAUUCCUUAGCAAACAUGCUCUUUUGCAUGGUGACUGUGGACAUUUUUGCAAAACUUACGCUUUCAACACUGGAUUUUAAAGAGAAUACUUAAUAAAAUGUCGCUAACUGGACUUAUUUAUAUGAGAGAGACUAUCUGGAUGCGCAUUAAGUGUCACUUUGUGUCGUAAGCUGUUGAAGGAGCGAUUUGCGCCUUUUUAAGUGUUAAUUUUGGGUAGCCGGCUUGUAUGGGCUUGAAAGCUGAAAAUUAUGCCUCUCAUCAUAAUAGCAUUAAUUUUUGUAAUUGCAAUGUGUAUGUUUAGAUUGUAAGUGAAGCUUUUAAUAAUAAUUUUCUUAAAAAACAUGAUUUUAUA